rnacentral:rRNA from 1 species
UGAUCCUCAGCCUUGCUGGGGGGAUUAGUGGCGAACGGGUGAGUAACACGUGAGUAACCUGCCCUUGACUCUGGGAUAAGCCUGGGAAACUGGGUCUAAUACCGGAUAUGACCAUCUGGCGCAUGUCAUGGUGGUGGAAAGCUUUUUGUGGUUUUGGAUGGACUCGCGGCCUAUCAGCUUGUUGGUGGGGUAAUGGCCUACCAAGGCGACGACGGGUAGCCGGCCUGAGAGGGUGACCGGCCACACUGGGACUGAGACACGGCCCAGACUCCUACGGGAGGCAGCAGUGGGGAAUAUUGCACAAUGGGCGCAAGCCUGAUGCAGCGACGCCGCGUGAGGGAUGACGGCCUUCGGGUUGUAAACCUCUUUCAGUAGGGAAGAAGCCUUUCGGGGUGACGGUACUUGCAGAAGAAGCGCCGGCUAACUACGUGCCAGCAGCCGCGGUAAUACGUAGGGCGCAAGCGUUAUCCGGAAUUAUUGGGCGUAAAGAGCUCGUAGGCGGUUUGUCGCGUCUGCUGUGAAAGACCGGGGCUCAACUCCGGUUCUGCAGUGGGUACGGGCAGACUAGAGUGCAGUAGGGGAGACUGGAAUUCCUGGUGUAGCGGUGAAAUGCGCAGAUAUCAGGAGGAACACCGAUGGCGAAGGCAGGUCUCUGGGCUGUAACUGACGCUGAGGAGCGAAAGCAUGGGGAGCGAACAGGAUUAGAUACCCUGGAUAGUCCAUGCCGUAAACGUUGGGCACUAGGUGUGGGGGGACAUUCCACGUUU